GAGUUUGAUCCUGGCUCAGGUUGAACGCUGGCGGCAGGCCUAACACAUGCAAGUCGAGCGGAUGACGGGAGCUUGCUCCUUGAUUCAGCGGCGGACGGGUGAGUAAUGCCUAGGAAUCUGCCUGGUAGUGGGGGACAACGUUUCGAAAGGAACGCUAAUACCGCAUACGUCCUACGGGAGAAAGCAGGGGACCUUCGGGCCUUGCGCUAUCAGAUGAGCCUAGGUCGGAUUAGCUAGUUGGUGGGGUAAUGGCUCACCAAGGCGACGAUCCGUAACUGGUCUGAGAGGAUGAUCAGUCACACUGGAACUGAGACACGGUCCAGACUCCUACGGGAGGCAGCAGUGGGGAAUAUUGGACAAUGGCGAAAGCCUGAUCCAGCCAUGCCGCGUGUGUGAAGAAGGUCUUCGGAUUGUAAAGCAC
rnacentral:rRNA from 1 species